UACGUAGGGGGCUAGCGUUGUCCGGAAUCAUUGGGCGUAAAGAGCGCGUAGGCUGCUCGGUAAGUCCGCUGUAAAAGUCAAAGGCUCAACCUUUGAAUGUCAGUGGAAACUGCCGGGCUAGAGUCCGGAAGAGGCGAGUGGAAUUCCUGGUGUAGCGGUGAAAUGCGCAGAUAUCAGGAGGAACACCGAUGGCGAAGGCAGGUCUCUGGGCAUUAACUGACGCUGAGGAGCGAAGGCAUGGGGAGCGAACAGG
rnacentral:rRNA from 1 species